GUAGGAAUCUUCCACAAUGGAACGAAAGUCUGAUGGAGCAACGCCGCGUGAGUGAAGAAGGGUUUCGGCUCGUAAAGCUCUGUUGGUAGUGAAGAAAGAUAGAGGUAGUAACUGGCCUUUAUUUGACCGGUAAUUACUUAGAAAGUCACGGCUAACUACGUGCC
rnacentral:rRNA from 1 species